rnacentral:rRNA from 1 species
UGAGGAAUAUUGGGCAAUGCCCGCAAGGGUGACCCAGCAACGCCGCGUGGAGGAUGAAUGUCGUAAGAUUGUAAACUCCUGUUAGAGGGGAAGAAUAGUACCGGUUGGACCGGUAUAUGACUGUACCCUCAGAGAAAGCCCCGGCUAACUACGUGCCAGCAGCCGCGGUAAUACGUAGGGGGCAAGCGUUGUCAGGAUUUACUGGGUGUAAAGGGCGCGCAGGCGGGUCUUUAAGUCAGGGGUGAAAUCCUGGAGCUCAACUCCAGAACUGCCUUUGAUACUGAGGAUCUUGAGUUCGGGAGAGGUGAGUGGAACUGCGAGUGUAGAGGUGAAAUUCGUAGAUAUUCGCAAGAACACCAGUGGCGAAGGCGGCUCACUGGCCCGAUACUGACGCUGAGGCACGAAAGCGUGGGGAGCAAACA